AGAGUUUGAUCCUGGCUCAGAUUGAACGCUGGCGGCAGGCUUAACACAUGCAAGUCGAGCGGGGGAAGGUAGCUUGCUACCGGACCUAGCGGCGGACGGGUGAGUAAUGCUUAGGAAUCUGCCUAUUAGUGGGGGACAACAUCUCGAAAGGGAUGCUAAUACCGCAUACGUCCUACGGGAGAAAGCAGGGGAUCUUCGGACCUUGCGCUAAUAGAUGAGCCUAAGUCGGAUUAGCUAGUUGGUGGGGUAAAGGCCUACCAAGGCGACGAUCUGUAGCGGGUCUGAGAGGAUGAUCCGCCACACUGGGACUGAGACACGGCCCAGACUCCUACGGGAGGCAGCAGUGGGGAAUAUUGGACAAUGGGGGGAACCCUGAUCCAGCCAUGCCGCGUGUGUGAAGAAGGCCUUAUGGUUGUAAAGCACUUUAAGCGAGGAGGAGGCUACUUUAGUUAAUACCUAGAGAUAGUGGACGUUACUCGCAGAAUAAGCACCGGCUAACUCUGUGCCAGCAGCCGCGGUAAUACAGAGGGUGCGAGCGUUAAUCGGAUUUACUGGGCGUAAAGCGUGCGUAGGCGGCUUAUUAAGUCGGAUGUGAAAUCCCCGAGCUUAACUUGGGAAUUGCAUUCGAUACUGGUGAGCUAGAGUAUGGGAGAGGAUGGUAGAAUUCCAGGUGUAGCGGUGAAAUGCGUAGAGAUCUGGAGGAAUACCGAUGGCGAAGGCAGCCAUCUGGCCUAAUACUGACGCUGAGGUACGAAAGCAUGGGGAGCAAACAGGAUUAGAUACCCUGGUAGUCCAUGCCGUAAACGAUGUCUACUAGCCGUUGGGGCCUUUGAGGCUUUAGUGGCGCAGCUAACGCGAUAAGUAGACCGCCUGGGGAGUACGGUCGCAAGACUAAAACUCAAAUGAAUUGACGGGGGCCCGCACAAGCGGUGGAGCAUGUGGUUUAAUUCGAUGCAACGCGAAGAACCUUACCUGGCCUUGACAUACUAGAAACUUUCCAGAGAUGGAUUGGUGCCUUCGGGAAUCUAGAUACAGGUGCUGCACGGCUGUCGUCAGCUCGUGUCGUGAGAUGUUGGGUUAAGUCCCGCAACGAGCGCAACCCUUUUCCUUACUUGCCAGCAUUUCGGAUGGGAACUUUAAGGAUACUGCCAGUGACAAACUGGAGGAAGGCGGGGACGACGUCAAGUCAUCAUGGCCCUUACGGCCAGGGCUACACACGUGCUACAAUGGUCGGUACAAAGGGUUGCUACACAGCGAUGUGAUGCUAAUCUCAAAAAGCCGAUCGUAGUCCGGAUUGGAGUCUGCAACUCGACUCCAUGAAGUCGGAAUCGCUAGUAAUCGCGGAUCAGAAUGCCGCGGUGAAUACGUUCCCGGGCCUUGUACACACCGCCCGUCACACCAUGGGAGUUUGUUGCACCAGAAGUAGCUAGCCUAACUGCAAAGAGGGCGGUUACCACGGUGUGGCCGAUGACUGGGGUGAAGUCGUAACAAGGUAGC
rnacentral:rRNA from 1 species